GUGAGGAAUAUUGGUCAAUGGGCGCAAGCCUGAACCAGCCAUGCCGCGUGCAGGAAGACGGUCCUAUGGAUUGUAAACUGCUUUUAUUUGGGAAUAAACUCCGGUACGUGUACCGGCCUGAAGGUACCAAAUGAAUAAGCACCGGCUAACUCCGUGCCAGCAGCCGCGGUAAUACGUAGGGUGCAAGCGUUAUCCGGAAUCAUUGGGUUUAAAGGGUCCGCAGGCGGUCUUAUAAGUCAGUGGUGAAAGCCUACAGCUCAACUGUAGAACUGCCAUUGAUACUGUAGGACUUGAAUUCGAUCGAAGUGGGCGGAAUGUGACAUGUAGCGGUGAAAUGCUUAGAUAUGUCACAGAACACCGAUAGCGAAGGCAGCUCACUAGGUCUGGAUUGACGCUCAGGGACGAAAGCGUGGGGAGCAAACAGGAUUAGAAACCCCGGUAGUCC
rnacentral:rRNA from 1 species